CUCUGGGAGGCGCUGCGGGCUGGGAGCAGGGGGGCCACGGUCACAUGCUUUGCUCCUCCUGCCACCUCGGGUGGGUCUGGGUGGACCUGCCAUCUGCCUGCAGCCGGUCCCCGAGGGGCUGGCCAUCUGAGUCACCUGGACUGACCUGGACUCCCUGUGUCAGCUUGGCAGCAGGUUCCUUUGCUCUUACCUCAUCUGCACCUGCUGGCUUCUGGACAAGGAGUGGGAUCACGUGGCCCAGGAGGAGCUCGGCACAGCUCCAGCUAGAAGAGGUGGGACACAGUGAAAAGGACCGUCUGGCCCGAGGACCGAGGACCUCUCAGAUGCAGCACCUGUCUGCUGGCCCUGCUCUGACACACCUCCUCAGGCGGCCCAGACCCUCAGCCCCCUGACUGCUCACCUGCGGGGCUCUUCAGUACCUGCUCUGGCCCCAGCCUGGCCCCUCUCCCAGAGGGAGCUGGGUGCAUGUGGGGUUGAGCUCAGACCGCCAGCUUAGAGGGGGCCCAGUGCCCAGAGACCUCAAGUGAGAUGCCUCAACUUAGGGGUAUGUGAGGGCCCGCACACUCACGCACACGCAUACCCCCCAUGCAGCUGACCUAUGCGUAUAGCUGCAGAGAGGGGUCUGGGGGGGUCACACUCAGAAAAUGAUGGUGAUGGAUUGCUGGAUUGCUCUGGGGGGUGUGCCUCUGCCUGCAGACUAUCUUCUCAAAUUACCUGAGUUUUUUAAAAUACAUUGGAAAGACAUGUACUCAUCAUUUUCUCGUUUAAAAAUUAGUUGUAAAUAAAAUACAGGUGAACAAUUGCAAAAAAAAAA
rnacentral:lncRNA from 1 species